GACGUAGGGGGCAAGCGUUGUCCGGAAUCAUUGGGCGUAAAGCGCUGGUAGGUGGCUUGUUAAGUCGCGUGUGAAAGCUCCAGGCUCAACCUGGAAAGUGCGCGCGAAACUGGCGAGCUUGAGUGCCGGAGAGGGUCGUGGAAUUCCCGGUGUAGAGGUGAAAUUCGUAGAUAUCGGGAGGAACACCAGAGGCGAAGGCGACGACCUGGAAGGUAACUGACACUGAGCAGCGAAAGCGUGGGGAGCAAACAGG
rnacentral:rRNA from 1 species